AUGAUCGGGAGGGCGAGCAUACUCGGCAAAGAUGAAAGAUACUGGUGGAGGCAGGAGGGGUCAAUUACCCAGCAUCACCUAAAGAACUGGAAGGUGAUACUGUGGAUGAUGGCAUCAUUGCUGACACUGGCAGAAAAUGUGUUUUCUGAGGACAAUAAAAAGGCUCCGACAGACCACCAUCAUGUUUUCAGGCAGCCAUCCUGGUCUCCUGCAGAGAAUCUGGAACAGGAGAGCAGUGUCUACAGAUACUGGCCUAAAGGCUUUGCCUUUUCCCCUCUCGGGGCUUAUUGUUCACAGGUGCGCAAGGUGGGACGACUCUCCAAUCAGCAAUCACCUUCCCGUCAAUAAGAAGCCUGGUUCCCUCCGGUCAGAUCGCCAGUUCGUCGUCAAACUUUCCCGGUAGCUUCGCAACCGAUUGUUGUUUUGACCGCUUGGCAAUUCCUAGCCUAACUACUUACCUCUUCUCCAGGUUCUCAGCCUCGUCUCGUAACCUGUGGAGAUCUCCGCCCCGACCGACAGCCUCUCUGGCGACUCAUCCGGGGCCACCGCCCCGUUUCAGCUCCUCAGCACAAUCCCAAUAAACUCUGUUCUGCUUGGCAUCUGCUCGUGGGUUCCUGUGUCUCGCUGACGCGC
rnacentral:lncRNA from 1 species